UUCCUCAUUGUGAGUUGCAGUAAAAAUUGAUUUAAGCAGAUAAAACUCAAAGAAAGCAAAACACCUUAGAUAGUCCUUUUUGGUUUAUUUUUGAAAAAGUGAAAUAGGAGAAAAGAAACUGUUUCUAAGUAGACUUGAGGGGGAACAAACCCAGAUCAUAAUUCAAAGACAAUGCUAUCAGAAAUCUUACAUUCUAACUUAUCCUUGGGUUGACAAGAAGAAAUAAAAGAGAUAAGUGGCAAAUGGCUACUGAUGUGUUUCUAAGGCCCUAUUAUACCAGAGGCCCUCAGUUUGUAGCAAUCAUGCCUUUCAACUUUUCUUCCUCAACUCUAACUCUCACAACUCCUGCAUUAGCUUAAAGCUGAUAAACUCUUUGUUCUAAGUGCCCAUUAAGCAGAGAUAGAGUUGGAAGGAUUGUAUAAUAUAUUCAUAUUAAACAGAAUUAGUUGAUUAUAUUAAAUAAUCAUAAAUGUAGAUAGAAACAUGUAGAUGCAUUGUGUUAUACGUUAAGUACUUUUCCAGAAUGUUCACAUUUACUUUACAGUUCACACUGUUGCAGUUAUAGUUAAUGAAGUAAUAAAAUGAUAUGUAAAUUGCUUCACCUUUUCACCUACUUAUAUGGGAAAAAAAUUGCUUGAGUAAUAACUUUUAGGAAAGAUAUCUAGAAGCACUGCAAGUAACUUGUACUUGCAUUUGUGUUUUUCCUUAUUUGUCUCUUUUAUCUCAUUCCCAUGUGAGAUGAAUGAAAGGAUUUCCCUGAAACGAGCAGGUAUACAGGAGAGCAUAAAGGGCUUAUGCAACUAAAUGCUUCACCCCUUGACCUUUCAUUUUCAUCAUUAAAGACUUAUUCCUUUGGGUCUCAAAGAUUUAAACUACAAUGGAAACUUAUUGAAAUGCAAAUAUUCCUGGGAGAAAUAACAUCUUAAAAUGUAAUCUGCUGAUUUUUUAAGCAAUUAGUUAACUGCAGGUGAGAGAAGAAGAGAAGCAAAGAAUAGACUUUAGAGGUAGAAGAUGAGAACAAUGGACAGGAGAAAAGAAUGUUAGAGGCACCAAAUGUAAAAUAUACCCAAAUUUUAUUUAGAGUCAAUCAUCUCAUUUAAAAAGUUUUAGAUUUUUCCUUAUAUGUGAAAACUGCAAACUACAAAGGCUAGCAUAUAAUUGUGUGUAUGUCCACAACCUGGUAUUCUCAUUAUGAAAUACUUGCUAUUCAAACGAACAGUAA
rnacentral:lncRNA from 1 species